rnacentral:tRNA from 1 species
GAAAGAUGGUCGAGUGGUUUAAGGCACCGGUCUUGAAAACCGGCGUGGGGGCUCCCCCACCGAGGGUUCGAAUCCCUCUCUUUCC